CCUACGGGUGGCAGCAGUGAGGAAUAUUGGUCAAUGGACGAGAGUCUGAACCAGCCAAGUAGCGUGAAGGAUGACUGCCCUAUGGGUUGUAAACUUCUUUUAUAUGGGAAUAAAAUGUUCCCCGUGUGGGAUUUUGUAUGUACCAUAUGAAUAAGGAUCGGCUAACUCCGUGCCAGCAGCCGCGGUAAUACGGAGGAUCCGAGCGUUAUCCGGAUUUAUUGGGUUUAAAGGGAGCGUAGGUGGAUGGUUAAGUCAGUUGUGAAAGUUUGCGGCUCAACCGUAAAAUUGCAGUUGAAACUGGCAGUCUUGAGUACAGUAGAGGUGGGAGGAAUUCGUGGUGUAGCGGUGAAAUGCUUAGAUAUCACGAAGAACUCCGAUUGCGAAGGCAGUUCACUGGACUGCAACUGACACUGAGGCUCGAAAGUGUGGGUAUCAAACAGGAUUAGAUACCCUGGUAGUC
rnacentral:rRNA from 1 species